rnacentral:snRNA from 1 species
CAUAAAAGUCGGGCUUUUCGCCUUCUGUCUUUAGCCGUUUAAUAUAUGUUUUCUUAUAAAACUACAAAACUUGACCAGUAUCA